rnacentral:rRNA from 1 species
AUUGAACGCUGGCGGCAUGCCUUACACAUGCAAGUCGAACGGUAACAGGUUAAGCUGACGAGUGGCGAACGGGUGAGUAAUGUAUCGGAACGUGCCCAGUCGUGGGGGAUAACUACUCGAAAGAGUGGCUAAUACCGCAUACGACCUGAGGGUGAAAGCGGGGGACCGUAAGGCAUCGCGCGCUUGGAGCGGCCGAUAUCAGAUUAGCUAGUUGGUGGGGUAAAAGCCCACCAAGGCGACGAUAUGUAGCUGGUCUGAGAGGACGACCAGCCACACUGGGACUGAGACACGGCCCAGACUCCUACGGGAGGCAGCAGUGGGGAAUUUUGGACAAUGGACGCAAGUCUGAUCCAGCCAUGCCGCGUGCGGGAAGAAGGCCUUCGGGUUGUAAACCGCUUUUGUCAGGGAAGAAACGAGUUUCUCUAAUACAGAGACUUAAUGACGGUACCUGAAGAAUAAGCACCGGCUAACUACGUGCCAGCCGCCGCAGUAAUAC